rnacentral:rRNA from 14 species
CGGUGCCGAGCAACCCCCCCAGAACUGAAGCGGACAAGGGGAAUCCGACUGUUUA